CCUACCCUAAACAACAGCCCCCUCAGACUGUCUCAUGCUAUCUCUCCCCUCACUCCCUACCGAGCCGCCGCCACUCCCUCCCAUCACCCCCGCCUUGCUCUCCUCCGUCGGCGCCGGCCCUGCCUCCCCUCUUCUCCGCCGGCCCCUCCUCCCCAUCGCGCCGGCCCCGCCUCCCCCGUCGCGCCCGCAGGCCCCGCUCCUUCCCCCUCCCCAGAUCCGCCUCCCCGUCGGCCGCCGCGCCUCAAUCUCUGUCGCCGUCACUCCCCACUCCUCCACCUCGCGCGUCUGAGCGGCGUCCGUCUUGGCGGCGGCAGUAACGGGGAGCAGUCGUCCUUGCCGGUCUGGUUGAUGGCGGCGGCAGCGCCCCCACCCACCCACCCUCCCUCCUUGGAGACGGAGGAUAGGAGCGGUGAACGGGCCUGCGACUGCUGCUGCCGUACCUGUGCGUCGACGCACUCCGCAUCCGCACGUACCAGGCAUUCGUCGGCGCUGCCCGUGUGCCCAAUCUCUUCCAGUCAGGUUCUUCAAUCCCAUCCUUUCCGAUUAGAUAGAUUAAGUUCAGUUCUAUACUUUUGCAGCUGCAGAGUGUUGGGUUUUAUUGACUCGUCGCCGUCCGUCAUCUCUGAAAUAAUUACAGACAACUUUGCUUUGGAGUUCUGAGAUUGGAAAAGGUGCCCAGUAGCAACAGCUCCACAUCAGGAUGCUUGUUAUUGUUGAGGACAGAUUUUAAUAUUUAGUGCCCUUGACUACCCGAUGUAGCCAUGAUGAUUCAAGUAUUAUGCCUGGAACCGAUUGUUUUCUGAACUCUGGAAGUGAGCUCAGUUGUCCAUUGUCAAAGAGUAAAUUCCAUCUUCCUUAAAGCACCAUAGUCUGACAUCAUUUUUAUCAGGUUUUGGAUCAAUAGUUUGCACUUUGAGCUUAACUUCUUGAUCUCUAUCUCUCAAUGUCAUCUGCUGUUACUCAUUUUUAUGCUUUACAUUAUGGUACAUUGCCUUGACGCUGCUAUGUAGGUUUAAUUAUGGUACAUUGCCUUGUUCAUCUAGAGAGUGCUUAGGUCUCAAUCUGCUGGACCAUCUCAAUUGAUUGGUUGUAUAAACAUGUAGGUUUAAUUUUUCUGUCCAACAGGUAAUCACAUCUCUAGAUGGAGCUUGAGCUGCCAACCCCCAACAGAUGUAGGAUCAUGAAAGUUUCUGGGAAGAUGAUCCUCACUUAAGACUUGGGGAAACGAGCGACAUUGUUCACCCUUGUGGAGGACGAAAAAUUGGUAAAUGGGCUGCUACUUUAUUUCCCUGGGAGUGAGCCGACAGCAGUUACUCGACAGGAAAAUUCCGUGAGCUGAUGAGCCUCGACCUGACGACGGAUUAUUUUCCUGUCGUUGACACAUGGGAAUAGCCGUCAGGAAAAUAUCUUCUGUCAGCCAACACACAGACAUUUUCGACUAUCCCUGUAUAGAUAUCCCUGUCGGCCAACACACAGGAUUUAUGUUUCUGUCGGGAAACUGCAUUUUUCCUGUCGGUUCUUGGCCGACAGGGAUAUUCCUGUCUGUAGUAGUGAGUAAAAAUAUCAUUUGUCUAUCUCGUUAAAAGUACUCAUAGAUAAAACUCGCCAAAAACGAAA